rnacentral:rRNA from 1 species
AGUGAACGCUGGCGGUAGGCCUAACACAUGCAAGUCGAACGGCAGCACAGUAAGAGCUUGCUCUUACGGGUGGCGAGUGGCGGACGGGUGAGGAAUACAUCGGAAUCUACUUUUUCGUGGGGGAUAACGUAGGGAAACUUACGCUAAUACCGCAUACGACCUACGGGUGAAAGCAGGGGGUCUUCGGACCUUGCGCGAUUGAAUGAGCCGAUGUCGGAUUAGCUAGUUGGCGGGGUAAAGGCCCACCGAGGCGACGAUCCGUAGCUGGUCUGAGAGGAUGAUCAGCCACACUGGAACUGAGACACGGUCCAGACUCCUACGGGAGGCAGCAGUGGGGAAUAUUGGACAAUGGGCGCAAGCCUGAUCCAGCCAUACCGCGUGGGUGAAGAAGGCCUUCGGGUUGUAAAGCCCUUUUGUUGGGAAAGAAAAGCAGCAGGUUAAUACCCCGCUGUUCUGACGGUACCCAAAGAAUAAGCACCGGCUAACUUCGUG